rnacentral:rRNA from 1 species
UACGUAGGCAGCGAGCGUUGUUCGGAGUUACUGGGCGUAAAGCGUGCGUAGGCGGUUGUCUAAGUUUGGUGUGAAAUCUCCCGGCUUAACUGGGAGGGUGCGCCGAAAAACUGGGUGACUGGAGUGUCGGAGAGGUAAGCGGAAUUCCUGGUGUAGCGGUGAAAUGCGUAGAGAAUCAGGAGGAACACCUGUGGUGUGGGACAGCUUACUGGACGAUAACUUGACGCUGAGGCACGAAAGCGUGGGUAGCAAACAGG